rnacentral:rRNA from 1 species
AAGGAAUAUUGCACAAUGGGGGAAACCCUGAUGCAGCAACGCCGCGUGAGUGACGAAGGCCUUCGGGUUGUAAAACUCUUUUCUGAGGGAUGAGGAAGGACAGUACCUUAGGAAUAAGUCUCGGCUAACUACGUGCCAGCAGCCGCGGUAAAACGUAGGAGGCGAGCGUUAUCCGGAUUUACUGGGCGUAAAGGGCAAGUAGGCGGUGGUUCAAGUUGGGCGUGACAGAUCCUGGCUUAACUGGGAGAGGUCGUUCAAAACUGGAUCACUAGAGGGCAGGAGAGGGGAGCGGAAUUCCUAGUGUAGCGGUGGAAUGCUCAGAUAUUAGGAAGAACACCAGUGGCGAAAGCGGCUUUCUGGCCCGCACCUGACGCUGAAGGGCGAAAGCUAGGGGAGCGAACGG